rnacentral:rRNA from 1 species
AUUGAACGCUGGCGGCAGGCCUAACACAUGCAAGUCGAACGAGUGGCGGACGGGUGAGUAAUGUCUGGGAACCUGCCUGAUGGAGGGGGAUACCUACUGGAAACGGUCGCUAAUACCGCAUACCCUCGGAUGUGCCCAGAGGGGAUUAGCUAGUAGGUGGGGUAAAGGCUCACCUAGGCGACGAUCCCUAGCUGGUCUGAGAGGAUGACCAGCCACACUGGAACUGAGACACGGGCCAGACUCCUACGGGAGGCAGCAGUGGGGAAGAUUGAACAAUGGGCGCAAGCCUGAUGCAGCCAGGCCGCGUGUAUGAAGAAGGCCGUCGGGUUGUAAAGUACGUUCAGCGGGGAGGCGUUAACCGCAGAAGAAGCACCGGCUAACGCCGUGCCAGCAGCCGCGGUAAUUC